rnacentral:rRNA from 2 species
UAAAGAAAGCGUAAUAGCUCACUGGUCGAGUCGGCCUGCGCGGAAGAUGUAACGGGGCUAAACCAUGCACCGAAGCUGCGGCAGCGACACUAUGUGUUGUUGGGUAGGGGAGCGUUCUGUAAGCCUGUGAAGGUGUACUGUGAGGUAUGCUGGAGGUAUCAGAAGUGCGAAUGCUGACAUAAGUAACGAUAAAGCGGGUGAAAAGCCCGCUCGCCGGAAGACCAAGGGUUCCUGUCCAACGUUAAUCGGGGCAGGGUGAGUCGA